AAUGGGGGCAACCCUGAUCCAGCCAUGCCGCGUGCGGGAAGAAGGCCUUUGGGUUGUAAACCGCUUUUAGCCGGGAAGAAAAGGCGAGGGAUAACACCCUUCGUUCUUGACGGUACCGGCGGGAUAAGCACCGGCUAACUACGUGCCAGCAGCCGCGGUAAUACGUAGGGUGCGAGCGUUAAUCGGAAUUACUGGGCGUAAAGCGUGCGCAGGCGGUUCGUUAAGUCUGAUGUGAAAGCCCCGGGCUCAACCUGGGAAUGGCAUUGGAUACUGGCGGGCUUGAGUGUGGCAGAGGGGGGUGGAAUUCCGCGUGUAGCAGUGAAAUGCGUAGAGAUGCGGAGGAACACCGAUGGCGAAGGCAGCCCCCUGGGCUGACACUGACGCUCAGGCACGAAAGCGUGGGGAGCAAA
rnacentral:rRNA from 1 species